rnacentral:rRNA from 1 species
UACGUAGGGUGCAAGCGUUGUCCGGAAUUAUUGGGCGUAAAGGGCUCGUAGGCGGUUUGUCACGUCGGGAGUGAAAACUCGGGGCUUAACCCCGAGCCUGCUUCCGAUACGGGCAGACUAGAGGUAUGCAGGGGAGAACGGAAUUCCUGGUGUAGCGGUGAAAUGCGUAGAUAUCGGAAGGAACAUCAGUGGCGAAAGCGGCUUCCUGGACCAGCACCGACGUUCAGGCACGAAAGCGUGGGGAGCAAACAGG